rnacentral:rRNA from 1 species
UACAGAGGGUGCGAGCGUUAAUCGGAAUUACUGGGCGUAAAGCGCGCGUAGGCGGCUUUGCAAGUCGGGUGUGAAAUCCCCAGGCUUAACUUGGGAACUGCGUCUGAUACUGGGUGGCUUGAGUUCGGGAGAGGAAUGUGGAAUUCCAGGUGUAGCGGUGAAAUGCGUAGAUAUCUGGAGGAACACCGGUGGCGAAGGCGGCAUUCUGGACCGAAACUGACGCUGAGGCGCGAAAGCCAGGGGAGCAAACGGG